rnacentral:rRNA from 1 species
UUUAAUUCGAAGCAACGCGCAGAACCUUACCACCUUUUGACAUGCCCGGCUAACCAGAGAGAUUUGGUGUUCCCUUCGGGGACCGGGACACAGGUGCUGCAUGGCUGUCGUCAGCUCGUGUCGUGAGAUGUUGGGUUAAGUCCCGCAACGAGCGCAACCCUCGCUGUUAGUUGCCAUCAUUUAGUUGGGAACUCUAACAGGACUGCCGGUGCUAAGCCGGAGGAAGGUGGGGAUGACGUCAAGUCCUCAUGGCCCUUACGGGGUGGGCUACACACGUGCUACAAUGGCGACUACAGAGGGAAAAUCCCUAAAAGUCGUCUCAGUUCGGAUUGUCCUCUGCAACUCGAGGGCAUGAAGUUGGAAUCGCUAGUAAUCGCGGAUCAGCAUGCCG